rnacentral:lncRNA from 1 species
AGGGGUAUGUGGAGAGCUCUUGGGAAUAGCACCUUUAAAAAGCAACAUGAACAGAGGAUUGGAAAGAGUGAAAGAGUAAUACAUCAGGAGUAGAUGUUUGCAGCAUGCUGAGUUUGACCAAAACCAAAGCCGAGGCUGUCUAUUGGACGGGUAAAGUUUCUGCUACAAGGCAUUUUUGAAACCACACAACAUGACCACCCCGAACUAAAAAUAAAAUCCACGUACACUUUCCGAUGAUGGCCCCACAUCUAAGCAUCUACCCAUUUUCCCAGCCAGGGAAGGAUGCGUGAUUUACGAGAAACCACAGAAACACUGGGAUCACUGCAUUGUAAAAUAAAACGUGUUCUUCAUAUGAUUCGUGCUCUGUUAAAACGGAUGGCAUAUUCGCUUCCCGUAGCUGCUGUAACAAAUUAUGUUUCAUGGCUUAAGACCACACAAGUCUCUUAUCCUACAGUUCUGGAGGCCGGAGGUCUAAUAUGGGCUGCAGGACUGGUUCCUGGGGGUUCCGGGGCAGAGGUCUCCUUGCCCCUCCCAGCUUCUCAAGGCCACCUGCCUUCUCUGGCUUACGGCCUCCUCCUGGUAUCAUUGAGCUCUGCUUCCAGCUGUGCGUCGGUGAUCUCUGACCAGUGCUCCCUGUGCUACAAUCAUUAACAACAUUGGGCAUGUCCUGUGCAAAUGGAUUUGAAACAAGUCAACUCAGCUCUCAGCAGUUAGGCCUGGACAUCGGCACUGCACACCCACUCCUUAGAAGGUGCUAACCUUGAUAGGAGUCGAAACGUGAAGCAUCUCCCCCCUCGGACUCAGGACAUAGCUUAGGAUACAGGACACCUUUGUAAAGAAGAAAUAAUAAUAAUAACAAUACAAGUUUGCAAAUGUCAAGUGCCGUCAGGGUUGUAUGAGUUAAGUUACUUACAAGCUGUCUCCUGUGGGAACUUGACUUUGACCCAAGCCUGCUGUGGUCCCAGGAAUGACCUGUCUCACCAACAACUCCUGGAGCUUGAAUUUUCAAUCUCUAAGUAGGAAGGUAGCAGAGAGUUGUGGGGGACACCGUUCCACCCAUGAUGACAUCUGUCUCAGCCCCAGUGGGAAAGAAUUGUGUGAUGAGGAAGUCCUUUAAGCUCCAGUGCCUGUGUUUCCCCAUCUGUAGAAUAAACAUAUCAGU